UACGGGGGGGGCAAGCGUUGUUCGGAAUUACUGGGCGUAAAGGGCUCGUAGGCGGCCAACUAAGUCGGAUGUGAAAUCCCCAGGCUUAACCUGGGAACUGCAUCCGAUACUGGAUGGCUUGAAUCCGGGAGAGGGAUGCAGAAUUCCAGGUGUAGCGGUGAAAUGCGUAGAUAUCUGGAGGAAUACCGGUGGCGAAGGCGGCAUCCUGGACCGGCAUUGACGCUGAUGAGCGAAAGCUAGGGGAGCAAACGGG
rnacentral:rRNA from 2 species